AAAUCCCAUAAAUACAGAAUUUUCUUGCCCAGGAGAAUUCUUUAUUCUACUUUCUCUCUCUUAUUUUUCUGUUCUUUCCUCUCUCUUUGAAAUUUCUGGGAAACCUGAGAUCCGCUGUUUGCAAUAGCGUGAUCUAAGGUUUCUAUCACUCCUUUUUCUCUUGAAUGUUAAGCCUAUUUCUCCCGUCCCUUAUUCAAUAUCUUUUUUUUCUUUCAUUUCAUUUUAUUUGGAGGAGAAUUCCUAGGGGAGGAUUUCAUUUUUCAUGAUGAGUGAUCACGUCGUGUUGUACGUCGACCACCUUAUGAGGCCCCCGGCUGCUCAGAUGGCUCCGGAGGCCUCUUCUUCCACGCCCAAUGAGGGAAGCGACGCUGUUGGUCCCGGCCACCAGAGGAACCAAUACCAGGAAAGGGGGGAGGAAGAGGA
rnacentral:misc_RNA from 1 species